rnacentral:lncRNA from 1 species
AUCAGCACCCAGACCGGCAGGCUGAGCAGGCUCUGUGUGGGUGAGACAGCAGAACCGGUGGGGUAGUCAGCAGAAAGAUCUGGACACCCCAGCCUAGAUGUCCCGUCCCCGAGCCCUGACAUCAGCCCUCCUCUCUUUACUAAUGCAUGAUGCCUGAUAACAGAAAUGCGUUGUUUAAAAGAAUAAGAAAACUCAGCAUGCUGAAGGUAACACUUCACAAGCUCUGCUCCUGGGUCCAAGGUCAGGAGAGGGACCAGGGGCUUGAGAAGAGUCCAUUUGGAAAAGACUUAAAGUUCUCCAGAAACAGCAGUAAUGGUGAUGACAACUAACAUGACCCGGCGGUGACUUUACCAGUUGAGGAAACUGAUGCUUGGAGAGGGAAAGUACCUGGCCCAGAGGAGCCGAGCUAAGUGACAGGGCCCGGACUUGAGCCCUAGUGUCCUUGUUUCAUCCAAGCUGGUUACACCCACCACGAUGCAAAGACUUUGAAGCUGUGAGGACGCGAGCACCCAGAGCCUGGCGGGGUCAUCUCACCAAACUCCAAGCGCACAGGUCUGGGGACACUGAGGGUUGGCUUUGGGUGCUGAGGCUCCAGAGGCACCCAGAGCCCUGCAGAGGAUCCCAUGGGGGCAGCAGGAUGAGGUGGGGUCGGGGAACUUUGUCCGAGAGGAACUGGGGAUGCAGAGCCCGGAAAAGGCUGUCAUAUGGGGACAGCCUGGGAGGUGUUUAAGGAGCCAGGGGCUCCUGGGAUCGAAUCCCAGCUCUGCCUGUCACCAGCUGGGUGG